rnacentral:lncRNA from 1 species
AUGGGGACCCCGGUACCCUGGCAAGGUCGCCGAGGAUCGGCGGCAGGCGGGGUCUCCGGGGCUCGUGGCCGGCGGCGGCGGGGUGGUGUCGGUAGGAUGCGCUCCCGGGCCUUGCCUGGCAGCGGGGGAAAUCCAAAGGGAAGCCACUUCGGCACACACAACGGGACGGCCUGGGUUAGCAGUUUUCUAAGGAUUGACUUCCUAGAGCAGGUGCCACAAGGCCACUUCUGGUUUCUUCCGCACCGCUUCAGAACCCGUCUGCAACGCGGUCCUCUUCCCCGCCCAGCCUACUUCCUUCUCCAGGCCCCGCCCCUGGCCCCUCCUCCCCACCUCAGACCCCUCCUUCCAGCCCGCCCUCAGGCCCCGCCCCUCAUCCCCCUCCCCCCCCCCGCCUCGUUCCAUUCAAUUGUUGGAUUGUCGGCGCCGCACUCCCACCGGCGGCCGGCAGGGGGCGGGGUUCGAGCGUGGAUUUCCUCGGCGUCCACUGGGCAGGGACAGGCGCGGAGCGGGGCGGGCGGGUGGACGCGCGGACUCCAGGCCGCGAGCGGGCGGGCGGCUGCGACGCCGCGUUGGAUCGCGCUCGGCUGGGAGGCCGCGGCCGCAUCAGCACUGACGUGGGGCAACGUGGGCCGGCGGCGGUCCCAGUGGGGCUCGUCGUCCCACCUCCUCGCGUCCGUAAGCAGUGACGAGGUCCGCUACGUAAAUCGCUUCGCUGCGGGUAAGUGGCGCGCCGGCCGGCGGGACCCGCGGGGCCUGAGGCGGCGGCGCCGGAGCUGGGGGCGGGGCGGAGCGGGUAGCCGGGGGCCGUUUGCCCAGCGCACCUCGAGGGCUUUUUCUGAGGGGCCGCCGCUCCGGCUCCUGGGAGGCGAGGGCCGGCGGGCGACGCGGGUCGGUCGGCUUCGCUCGCUCUCCGGAGCCGCGGUCCCCGAUCCUCGCAACCCUAGACAGACCGAGCGGUGCUUCUGGAAGGCGCGCCACCUUCCUUCCCGUGCCCCGCUGGCGCCGGGACCAGCCAGCCAGGCGACCGCGGUCCAGACCGCCGACUCAGAGGGACGAGCGUCCUCGGGCGUCUUCACUGCUCCCUCCGCCGGACCCGGAUCCCUAGUGUAA